rnacentral:lncRNA from 1 species
UGCCCUGAAAUCGCAAGUGGAAGCUUUGCAAGGGCGAGGAAGCAGUGAAAAGAAACCACAAUUCAAAAAGAAAGAAGGAGAUACAACCUUUGUUUGGAACCACAACCCUUCACCCCGACCCCGAUACCAACACAACCCAACCUACCACAACCUUACCCUUACUAUUAUUCAAGCCCAAACCCUGUAUAUACUACCAACAUCCACCACCCUCGACCUCGCCCAAACUAUACUAACCCACCUUCAGCCCCUUUUCAAAUUUCUCAACCAAAUCCACCCCAAAACCGACCUCGACCUCCAUUUAACCCAAGAUUUCCUCCUCCAAAUAGACCUGCUUACAACUAUCCUCAACCCACUGAACCCUACAACAGACCCCCUAGCCGUACUUUUACCAAUUUAGGCAGGCCUUUAGACCAAUUAUAUGACCAGUUAAGGGCCUCUGGAAAAAUUGGUACAGUACCACCUCCUACCUACCCGUAUGGCAUGCCCGUUUGGUAUAAC